rnacentral:tRNA from 1 species
GGGCCGAUAGAUCAGUGGUAGAUCGCCGCCCUUGCAAGGCGGAGGCCGUGGGUUCGAAGAGCCUCUCUUUACG